UGGCUGGAGGAUCGUUACCAUCAGAAUGGGAAGGCGAAAAUAGGCAUGCAAGCGGUACCUCCAUGCCCCUUGAACGUGCCCAUGUUUCAAACAAACAAGAAAUCUAGGUCAUCAUCAGAGCCGCAACUCGUGCCUCGAUCUCCACAAUGUUUGCUUGCAAGCACUCCUCCACCCAUUUGUUGAGCAUGUCCUCAAAUUGCUCCUAUGUCCAAUU
rnacentral:lncRNA from 1 species